UAUCCCAAAAACUUGAGUUUAUUUUUCUUCUCCUACCGGGCAUCUCUCCCUCUCUGUCUCUCGCUCGUUCCAAAUUUCUCAGUCCUUUGUGAACUCCACAGAAGAGAAAGAAGGCAAAAUAAACCAUGAUAUUUGAUCUCAUCUGCCUCUUUGUAUUUAAUAAAUGAAUGAAUUCAUGGCUAGAACCACUAGUUGAUACUAAAUCAGGCAGCAGGAAGCUUCUUCUCAAGUAGGCAGUAGGGCAGUAGGGAGCAGUUGCAGUGAAGAGCGAAAUCAAAUGAAAUGAAGUGAAAGAGAGCAAAAAGCCCUAUACAGACACAGAGGCAGAGCGAGAAAUGAUGGAGAAUGGUUAUGAUGGGAAAUUUGCGGAGAAAUUCUCAGGGUUGGCGAUUUCGAACGCUGCUGAUACUAUUCGUUCCUCAAACGCCAACCACAACCACCAAGACGACAGCAGCUUGUUUCAGGUCAUGAAAGCCGUGGAAGCUGCGGAAGCCACCAUCAAGCAACAAGUCGAAGAGAAUCUCCGACUGAGGACUGAACUUCAGCACAAGAUUCUUGAGCUCGACAGAUUUAAACUAGAUGAAUCAAUGGCCCAAAGGUCGCCUUCAGUUGAUCCUUGGUCCGAGGGUCUCCAAACAUCUUUUCAAGCUCAUCAACCAGUUCCCACUGUGGAUGGUCAAGACAAUAGAAUUAAGAGUGUAAGAAACACUUAUGUAGUUCUCCACCAAGAGAGUCAAAACCCAACUACAGAUGCCCCAAUACAAAGUCAUGCUGAAACUCAAUCCAACAAUGGCACAAUCAAUGGAACCAUGAAACUGCCUACAGAUAAUGCUGGCUCGUCUCACUUGUCUUCGCCAUCUACCACAUCAUUUUCUCCAGGAAGGUUUAACACGGUAGGAGAAUAUGAUCCACGGUUCAAUUUUUCUGGGCAAGGACUGAUGCCAAUGGCUGAAUUAAAUACUCCUAGCAGCCUCUGGAAACAGGAUCUGAGUGUUAAGAUUCAUGAACAUGAAGAAGAGAUUAUGCAAUUACGGAAACAUCUUGCUAAUUAUUCAAUAAAGGAAGCACAAAUACGCAAUGAAAAAUAUGUUCUGGAGAAGCGUAUUGCUUAUAUGCGUCUGGCCUUUGAUCAGCAGCAACAAGAUCUUGUCGAUGCUGCAUCAAAAGCUCUAUCUUAUAGACAAGACAUUAUCGAGGAAAACAUACGCCUCACAUAUGCAUUACAGGAUGCACAGCAAGAGAGAUCAACAUUUGUUUCAUCUUUGCUGCCUCUUCUUGCAGAGUACUCCUUGCAGCCACCAGUUCCCGAUGCCCAAUCAAUUGUUAGCAAUGUCAAGGUUCUAUUUAAACAUUUGCAAGAAAAGCUCCUUCUUACUGAGACAAAAUUAAAGGAGUCACAGUACCAAUUAGGACCUUGGCGCUCAGAUUCAAAUCACUCUAACAUUGCCCCGCAGUCACCGUCUCACUCCAUUGGUGCAGCAUUGGCUACUUCAAACAAAAAUGGGCUAGAACUGGUUCCGCAGCCAAUAUAUUCCCAUGAAACAGUACCAGUUUCUACUUCUGAUGCUCAGACAACCACAGAGUGGGAUCUAUUGGGUCGCCAUCAGAGUGGUUUGGGUGGUGUUGUCACAAAUAACAUGAAAGCCAAUGGCCUGGGGAGGUAUUCACCUAUAGAAAGCAGGACUUCUGCAGCCCAAGAUGUACCUACUCAACUUGCUGUUACUCAGGGUGAUGCACAAGUAACUCGAUACAGUGAAGAAACCACCAAUAAACAGGUCACAUUUCGUGAUCCUGUCAGGAACUCAGAGAGUGAUUAUCAAGAUCCAGAAGGAAACCAUAAUGAGAGAGAAACGUCAGCCAAUUGGAAUUCAGGAAAUGCUCCUUACACAACAGCGCUUGAUGAUCCCAGCUCCUCGUAUGCCCAUUAUCUACCACCAGUGCUUGAAGAACCUUCUUCUUCAUUUUCAGAGGCUGCAGAUGAUGAUCCGUUACCAGCUAUAGAUGGCCUACAAAUUUCAGGCGAAGCUUUUCCUGGACGGGAACUUCAAGCAUGUGGAUACUCUAUUAAUGGAACAACCAGUUGCAAUUUUGAGUGGGUACGCCAUCGGGAAGAUGGAUCUGUUUAUUACAUUGAUGGAGCAAAGCAACCAAACUAUCUUGUUACUGCUGAUGAUGUUGAGACAUACCUUGCUAUUGAAGUCCAACCUCUGGAUAACAGGAAGCGAAAGGGAGAGCUUGUGAAGGUUUUUGCCAAUGAGCACAAAAAGAUAACUUGCGAUCCUGAAAUGCAAAGUCACAUAGAGAAGAUUCUCGGUAGUGGUCAUGCUUCAUUUAAAAUUUAUCUGUCGACUGGAUAUCUUGAUAUAUGGGAACCGGCUACGUUGGCUAUUAAGAGGGAAGCUUAUAGUAUUAAGUGUAGUGAAACUAGUGGUGUUGUACUUACGGAAAAGUUUUCGCCAACAACACUUGUAACAAUUCCAUAUGGAAGUCCUACAGAACUCAUAAUAUCUAAUCCUGGCGGGGGUGAGCAUAUUUUAAAAACAGAUGAUAGCUCGACUGAUAUUAGCUGUUCUAGAGAUACAAUUGUGCUCACGUUGAGAUUAUUUAUCCUAAGGGCUGGUGAGAGAAGGAAAGGUAAAAAAAGGUUGUUUUUUUGAGUAGGACACUUAUCUCCUGCUGUUGGGCUCCGCAAGAGCUUGUGUUCUUAUGGGCGGAUUCAUACGAUAAGGGGGAAGAUUAGGAAUUUGCGAAGCAGGAACAAGGUCAAUAGCAUGCUGAUUCUCUCUCGUAGGAGGUAGUUCAUCCGGUAUCAAGUAUGACAUCAGAGAAUUCAGUGAGGAGCUGUUGCAUGGGGUCGGCAGGUGGAGUGAGGGUGUCAUCAUAUGCCGGCUUAAGCAGGUUUUCCUAAUUCUAUUUGGACUAGUUAUUAAUUCAGUUAAGGAUUCCUUCUUGUUGAAGGAUCUCUUAUUAGUUAUUUUGCUUUACUAUUUCUCAAAGUUUACUUUUCCUUUUCCUAGAGUAAAAAGGGUUGUGCCUUUAUAAAUAGAGCAGUUUGUAAUCUUUUAAGGCAAACUUUAUUAAUGAUAAAUUUCCUUACUUUAAACUC